GACGAACGCUGGCGGCGUGCUUAGCACAUGCAAGUCGAACGGAAAGGCCCUGCUUUUGUGGGGUGCUCGAGUGGCGAACGGGUGAGUAACACGUGAGUAACCUGCCCUUGACUUUGGGAUAACUUCAGGAAACUGGGGCUAAUACCGGAUAGGAGCUCCUGCUGCAUGGUGGGGGUUGGAAAGUUUCGGCGGUUGGGGAUGGACUCGCGGCUUAUCAGCUUGUUGGCGGGGUAGUGGCUGACCAAGGCUUUGACGGGUAGCCGGCCUGAGAGGGUGAACGGCCACAUUGGGACUGAGAUACGGACCAGACUCCUACGGGAGGCAGCAGUGGGGAAUAUUGCACAAUGGGCGGAAGCCUGAUGCAGCAACGCCGCGUGCGGGAUGACGGCCUUCGGGUUGUAAACCGCUUUCGCCUGUGACGAAGCGUGAGUGACGGUAAUGGGUAAAGAAGCACCAGCUAACUACGUG
rnacentral:rRNA from 1 species